UACGGGGGGGGCAAGCGUUGUUCGGAAUUACUGGGCGUAAAGGCUCGUAGGUGGCCAACUAAGUCAGACGUGAAAUCCCUCGGCUUAACCGGGGAACUGCGUCUGAUACUGGAUGGCUUGAGCGUGGGAGAGGGAUGCGGAAUUCCAGGUGUAGCGGUGAAAUGCGUAGAUAUCUGGAGGAACACCGGUGGCGAAGGCGGCAUCCUGGACCAUUACUGACACUGAAUAGCGAAAGCCAGGGGAGCAAACGGG
rnacentral:rRNA from 1 species